UUCAACAUCUCUUUUCCUUUGUUGUGUGAUUACACAGAAAGUUGCUGCACAAUGCCCUUCCCCUUGUGGGCCAACAUUCUAAGGCAGGGAUCAUUUAGAAACAAGAUGGUGAAGGUAAAACUCACCAUUUUAGGAGAGAUCUUAGAGGGCAUCCAGUCUACCCACCUCUUCUUCUGGAGAAAAUUGAGAUUCAGAGAGAUUAAGUGCUUCUCCCAAGAUCACCCAAUUACUUACAGACCCACCCAGGGAUCAUAAUUAACUGAUCAUCACCAAUCAUGCUGACUUUUGUCUUGAUACUGGACUUCAAUGAUUCUGGAAGAAAAAGUGAAGCUGACAACUUUGUGCAACUUUAUCUCACUUAAAUCCAAUUUAUGUGCAAAUCAGGAGAUCACUCAUGAUGUCAUUGAUCCUCUUCAAAAACAAAGGAUGAACAACAACAUACAUCACAAGCUUACAUAAGCAAGUGUUUAAUAAUAGAACAAAAGUCUACAUGACCUGAAAGUCUAUUUGCACAUCCAGUCCAACUAUAUGAAGAUCUCUAGUUUUUCCAAGAGGUAGUGUUUGCUUUGUUUAUAUAGAUUUUUUUCUAUUUUAAAUAGAAAGUUGAGCUUUUUGCUUUUCAUUUUCUUUAUGAUAGAUCAUCAUUAUUAAAUAAACAAAAAAACUUUGAGUCUA